rnacentral:rRNA from 1 species
UGUAAGCGUAUACCAAAGUUGUUGCAGUUAAAACGCUCGUAGUCGGAAUUUGGCAGUUCCGGAUGUGUGCACGUCGUGUGCGCACUUCGCGGGGAUUGCUUUUGUGGUCUUGCGUAGGAUGAGGCACUUUUAUUAGUGAACGUCCUCACGCAGCCACUUUUUACUGUGAGAAAAUCAGAGUGCUCAAAGCAGGCAUUUGCCGUGAAUGUAUUAGCAUGGAAUAAUAGAAUAGGACUUGGUUCUAUUUUGUUGGUUUGUUGGGACUGAGUAAUGAUUAAGAGGGACAGUUGGGGGCAUUUGUAUUUCGGUGCUAGAGGUGAAAUUCUUAGAUUACCGAAAGACAAACUGCUGCGAAAGCGUCUGCCAAGGAUGUUUUCAUUGA